rnacentral:rRNA from 1 species
GAUGAACGCUGGCGGCGUGCUUAACAUAUGCAAGUCGAACGGAAAGGCCGUGCUUGUUCUGUGUGUCCGAGGCGCGAACGUGUGUGAAACGCGUGAGUCAUCCGCCUUACACUUUGGUAUAACCUCAGGAAAGCGUGUCAAAUACGGGAUAGGAUCUGACGCUGCAUGGAGGGGGUGGGAAAGUUUCGGCGGUUGGGGAUGGACUCGCGGCUUAUCAGCUUGUUGGUGGGGUAGUGGCUUACCAAGGCUUUGACGGGUAGCCGGCCUGAGAGGGUGACCGGCCACAUUGGGACUGAGAUACGGCCCAGACUCCUACGGGAGGCAGCAGUGGGGAAUAUUGCACAAUGGGCGGAAGCCUGAUGCAGCAACGCCGCGUGCGGGAUGACGGCCUUCGGGUUGUAAACCGCUUUCGCCAGUGACGAAGCGAGAGUGACGGUACUGGGAAAAGAAGCGCCGGCUAACUACGUG